AGAGUUUGAUCCUGGCUCAGAAUCAACGCUGGCGGCGCGCCUAACACAUGCAAGUCGAACGAGAAAGCAGGAGCAAUCUUGUGAGUAAAGUGGCGUACGGGUGAGUAACACGUGGAUCAUCUACCCUCUUGUGGGGGAUAACUCUGGGAAACCGGAGCUAAUACCGCAUAAGUCCGAGAGGAGAAAGCAGCAAUGCGCAGGAGGAGGAGUCCGCGGCCGAUUAGCUAGUUGGUAGGGUAAAAGCCUACCAAGGCUACGAUCGGUAGCCGGCCUGAGAGGGCACACGGCCACACUGGCACUGAAACACGGGCCAGACUCCUACGGGAGGCAGCAGUGGGGAAUCUUGCACAAUGGGGGCAACCCUGAUGCAGCGACGCCGCGUGAGCGAUGAAGCCCUUCGGGGUGUAAAGCUCUUUCGGCAGGGAAGAUUAUGACGGUACCUGCAGAAGCAGCUGCGGCUAACUACGUGCCAGCAGCCGCGGUAAUACGUAGGCAGCGAGCGUUGUUCGGAGUUACUGGGCGUAAAGGGUGUGUAGGCGGUCUUCUAAGUUUGGUGUGAAAUCUCCCGGCUCAACUGGGAGGGUGCGCCGAAAACUGGGAGGCUAGAGUGCGGGAUGGGAGAGUGGAAUUCCUGGUGUAGCGGUGAAAUGCGUAGAUAUCAGGAGGAACACCUGUGGUGUAGACGGCUCUCUGGACCGCAACUGACGCUGAGACACGAAAGCGUGGGUAGCAAACAGGAUUAGAUACCCUAGUAGUCC
rnacentral:rRNA from 1 species